AGACUUCCUUCCUCCCUGAAUUUUCAGGAUCCAUACGAGGCUCACCUUUUCAGGCUCCUGUAACUCCUCACUUGGACUUCUGGCUGCACACUCCAGUAGUUGUGAUGUUUAGCUUGGCCAACUGUACCUUUCCCUCUCACAUGAGAGCAGGGACCAUGGUUUACGACUACCCAUGAUCCAUCAGGCCGAGCACCCUGCUGUCGUCAUAAAUACGUGAGAAUGUUAAAAACGACCACCCAGGACUCUCUCAGCAUCUGCUGACUGCCUGGUACACAAACCCCCUGGGCGUGUAGGAGAACAUUUGCGAAGCGUUUUCCAGUUUGCCUCUCCUGUGAGCAGACUGGGCUGUGUCCUCAUUGGGUUCAUCACGAUGGCUGAAAACGGAGGGGUCAAUUAACAGGCAGCGUCACUGCCUCCUGACGGAUCUGCUUCUCCCAACACGAGUGCCAUGGUGAUGGACUGGCGGAAUCUUGAACGUGCAAAGAAUGUGCAACACCAGGAAGAUGGGAACAACACCGACCAUGGGGUGCAAGGAACUCUUCUUUCUCCCAUUGAAUUACCUUGGAAUCUUUUUUGAAAAUCAAUUGACCUUUAUUUUUCUUGCCUUAUUGCAUUGGUUGAGAAUGCCAGUACAGUGUUAAGUAGAAAUGGUGAGAAUGGACAUCCUUGCCCAUUCCCAGUUGGAAGGGGAAAGUGUUUGAUAUUUCACCAUUAAUCUGUUAUCUGUAGUUGUUUAAAAGAAAAUUUUUUUUAAUUUAUCAAGUUUUUAUUUAGAUUAUAGUUAGCUAACAUAUAGUGUACUUUAGCUUCACCAGUAGAAUUUAGUGGUUCAUCACUCACAUAUAACACCAGUGCUUGUCACAACAAGUGCACUCCUUAAUACCCAUUGUCUAUGUAACCCAUCCCCCAUUUAACCCAUGCCCCACCCACCACCCUUAUCCAUAGUUUUUCCUAGAGAAUCUUUAUCGUGCCCAUUUACACAUGCCCAUAUCAGGCCCUAUAAAUGCUCCUAAUGUUUCUGCUCCUUUGGCCUUUACUUGUAUUUUAUAGUCUGCACUAAAGUUUUGAUGAAAAUAAGUUUGUGGAUUUAAAAAAAUCCUUGUUGCUUUUUUAUGAUUCCUCUGUGAAAGAAAAAAAAAAAAGGGUGAAUUGAUAUAGCCAUGUUCCUACCUAAAGUCUGUUUUCUCUGUGAGUCCAGACACCCUGCCUGGUUUCACAGAGACUGAUUAUAAUAAAGUACAUAGCCAU